rnacentral:rRNA from 1 species
CAGGGGGAGCUUGCUUCCCCCGCUGUCGAGCGGCGGACGGGUGAGUAAUGCAUAGGAAACUGCCCAGUAGUGGGGGAUAGCCCGGGGAAACCCGGAUUAAUACCGCAUACGCCCUUUGGGGGAAAGCAGGGGAUCUUCGGACCUUGCGCUAUUGGAUGUGCCUAUGUCGGAUUAGCUAGUUGGUGGGGUAACGGCCUACCAAGGCGACGAUCCGUAGCUGGUCUGAGAGGAUGAUCAGCCACAUCGGGACUGAGACACGGCCCGAACUCCUACGGGAGGCAGCAGUGGGGAAUAUUGGACAAUGGGGGCAACCCUGAUCCAGCCAUGCCGCGUGUGUGAAGAAGGCUUUCGGGUUGUAAAGCACUUUCAGCAAGGAGGAAAACGUGUUGGCUAAUACCCAACAUGCUUGACGUUACUUGCAGAAGAAGCACCGGCUAACUCCGUGCCAGCAGCCGCGGUAAUACGGAGGGUGCAAGCGUUAAUCGGAAUUACUGGGCGUAAAGCGCGCGUAGGCGGUUUGAUAAGCGGGAUGUGAAAGCCCCGGGCUUAACCUGGGAACGGCAUUCCGAACUGUCAGGCUAGAGUAUGGUAGAGGGUAGUGGAAUUUCCUGUGUAGCGGUGAAAUGCGUAGAUAUAGGAAGGAACACCAGUGGCGAAGGCGGCUACCUGGACCAAUACUGACGCUGAGGUGCGAAAGCGUGGGGAGCAAACAGGAUUAGAUACCCUGGUAGUCCACGCCGUAAACGAUGUCUACUAGCCGUUGGGACUCUUGAAGUCUAAUUGGCGCAGUUAACGCACUAAGUAGACCGCCUGGGGGAGUACGGCCGCAAGGUUAAAACUCAAAUGAAUUGACGGGGGCCCGCACAAGCGGUGGAGCAUGUGGUUUAAUUCGACGCAACGCGAAGAACCUUACCUGGCCUUGACAUGUUGGGAACUUUCCAGAGAUGGAUUGGUGCCUUCGGGAACCCAAACACAGGUGCUGCAUGGCCGUCGUCAGCUCGUGUCGUGAGAUGUUGGGUUAAGUCCCGUAACGAGCGCAACCCUUAUCCCUAGUUGCCAGCACUUCGGGUGGGAACUCUAGGGAGACUGCCGGUGACAAACCGGAGGAAGGUGGGGAUGACGUCAGGUCAUCAUGGCCCUUACGGCCAGGGCUACACACGUGCUACAAUGGCGCGCACAGAGGGCUGCAACCCCGCGAGGGUGAGCUAAUCUCAUAAAACGCGUCGUAGUCCGGAUCGCAGUCUGCAACUCGACUGCGUGAAGUCGGAAUCGCUAGUAAUCGCGAAUCAGAAUGUCGCGGUGAAUACGUUCCCGGGCCUUGUACACACCGCCCGUCACACCAUGGGAGUGGAUUGCACCAGAAGUGGUUAGUCUAACCUU